ACGGAAGGCAGCAGUGAGGAAUAUUGGUCAUUGGGCGGAAGCCUGAACCAGCCAAGUCGCGUGAGGGAAGACGGCCCUACGGGUUGUACACCUCUUCUGCGCGGGGGUAAAGUCGGGGACGGGUCCCCGAUUGCAAGUACCGCGCGAAAAAGGAUCGGCUAACUCCGUGCCAGCAGCCGCGGUAAUACGGAGGAUCCGAGUGUUAUCCGGAUUUAUUGGGUUUAAAGGGUGCGCAGGCGGGAUGUCAAGUCAGUGGUGAAAUGGGGGGGCUCAACCGUAGAAGUGCAGUUGAAACUGGCGUCCUUGAGUGCGAAUGAGGUACGCGGAACGUGUCAUGUAGCGGUGAAAUGCAUAGAUAUGACGCAGAACACCGAUUGCGAAGGCAGCGUACUGGGACGCGACUGACGCUGAGGCACGAAAGUGCGGGGAUCGAACAGGAUUAGAUACCCUGGUA
rnacentral:rRNA from 1 species